GACAGAGGUGCCGAGCGUUAGGCGGAAUCACUGGGCUUAAAGCGUGUGUAGGCGGACCGUUAAGUACCUUGUGAAAUCCCACGGCUCACCCGUGGAACGGCUGGGUAGACUGGCGGUCUUGGGCCACCUAGGGGCAGAUGGAACAGACGGUGGAGCGGUGAAAUGCGUAGAUAUCGUCUGGAACGCCAAAGGUGAAAACAGUCUGCUGGGGGUGUGCCGACGCUGAGACACGAAAGCCAGGGGAGCGAACGGG
rnacentral:rRNA from 1 species